AAGGGAAGACUCACAUAGAGGCAGCAGUAGAGAAUCUUGUGCAAUAAACGAAAGUAUGACACAGAGAGGACACAUUUAAUUGAGCCCGUCAAAUUAAGUGCCAGCCGACGCGGUUAAACUUAAGGGCUGGUCUUUAUAAGUAAAAAGGCGUAAAGGAUGUGUAGGCCAAGAAACGACCCAAGAAGGUAAAUGGAAUUUUUCUGGAGCGGUAGAAUGUGAGGAUAGAAAAUAGAACCCCUAAGGUUAAAACUAUUUACCACAAGGUAGGCUGAAACAUGAGUGUGUGGGGAGCAAACAGGAUUAGAGACCCUGGUAGUCCACACUGUGAACUUUGAAGAUGAUGCUUAGCAGACCCGAAAGGUAAAAUCUUCCGCCUGAGUAGUACGAUCGCAAGAUUAAAAUUCAAAAACUUUGGCUGUUCACUAUUUCGAUUAGAGGAGCGUGUAGUUUAAUUCGAUGGUCCGCGUGUUACCUUACCCCAACUUGAAUCUGUGACCGGUAUUGCAUGGCCGUCGUAAGUUCGUGUAUUAAGCUAGAAGGGACCCAACCCGGGCAUUUGCCCGGAGGAAGUCAGGUCUUAUGAUCCGAAUGUUGGGGGAUUUUAUGCGCUACAUUUUCUUAUAUAAUGGGAGACCUGGAAGGUGAGCCUCUAAAGUAAGAGUUCGGAAGGUCGCUGUAAGACGACUGGAAGUUGGAUUUAAUAGUAAUCGGAAAGUAGGGCGUUCCGGUGAAUUGKWWCAAGUGUUAGCACAAAUUGCCCGUCGCCUUUACCUAGNAAUGGUUAUUCGGACGCCUUCGGUGGUUACGAAUGCCUACGAGGGAAAG
rnacentral:rRNA from 1 species